UACGUAGGGGGCAAGCGUUGUCCGGAGUUACUGGGCGUAAAGCGCACGCAGGCGGUCUCUUAAGUUUGGAGUGACAGUUGGUGGCUUAACUGCCAAAGUGCUUCGAAAAUUGAGAGACUUGAGGGCUUCAGAGGGACACGGAAUUCCGGGUGGAGUGGUGAAAUGCGUAGAGAUCCGGAGGAACACCAAAGGCGAAGGCAGUGUCCUGGGGAGUACCUGACGCUCAGGUGCGAAAGCCAGGGGAGCGAACGGG
rnacentral:rRNA from 1 species